GGGGGGUCCCGCGGCGGCCCCGCCCCCGGGACGCGCAACGCCUCCACCCACUGUGGUUCGGGGAGCCGGGCGCCUUCGGCAGGACGUACCGAGGACAGUGGGCCCCCACAGCCCUCUUGAACUCUACGUGCAGUUAGGCGGUGGAGGGAACAAAAGAUACUUCUUGUCUGAAAAAUGCUGUGAGAGCAUUAAGGUUGGACAUAAGGAUCAGCCUUCCGGCUUGGAGGACUGGGUGCAAGGUGGGUGUGACAAAGAAAAGGAGCUCAAAACUGCCUCCUGUUCCAGCCUAACCGGACCACUGCAUUUGAUGAAAUGAGUUUGCAACUUAAAAUACCACAUGUGGAAACAAGCCACUAUUCAUAAGUCAGCAGAAAAAAUGAAAUAAGGACUCAGACCCAUCACACCGGCAAAGUAGAAUUUGAAGAUUCAAAAUACCAAAAAAUUGCAUCACAAAAUGUAUGGUGACACAAAACUUCCACAUGGAGGGCCUGAGGGUUUGUGACAUCUGGACUGAUAAAAGUGAUGAUGUGGAAACACUAAUACCGAAGCAUGUGCAAGGUCAACUUGAGAAGUUGGUCCCAGCUCUGCUGCCUCUUCAGAAGUUAUCCUGUCCUGUCAGAUACAAAAGGCGCGAGGAAGCCCCACUCCCCUGGGACUGCCAUGGUAGCAGGAGUGCUGGAGAUGAAGAGAUCACAGAGAGGGCAAAGUGAAGCUUUCUGGACCUCACCUGCCCUUGUAACCAGGGCCUUCUCCCUCCACUGCCAACCCCAGAGUGAUGAAGUCUGCAAGUUUCCCCAGGCCUCAUAGCCUUAGGGAAGAAACCUGCCUAAGGAGUGUCUCAAGCCAGAGCAAGGUUAGUGGGGGAUUGUGCCCCCAAGUAUCCUUUCCUAAGUCACCGAUCGUGUCAUCUCUUAACUAGAUUUUUUGCCCGAAGUCUUAAAAAUAAACAACAUAAACUUCUCCAGCUGACAAAAGGCAGUCAGAAGUGCCAGCAUUUGAUUUGCUCCGUGGCAGGAUUAGGGACACUGACUGUGUCACGUACCCUCAGUCCCAAGCACAGGACCGGAAGCUCACUGCCAGGGAGGACAUCCAAAGGGCUAUGUCCAAGUUGCUGAGGCAUGCACACCAAAGAGUUUGGAAAAGCCAAAGAGGGCACUAGAAGAGAGAAUCAGGAGCUGAUCUACCACACUGACCAGAAUGGCAGAACCAGGGAAGAUGAGAAAAUUGCAAAUGGUCAUGGGACAAUGGGGAAGUAUGGGUGACUUCGAUGACACGGGCCAACACUCAGCUGGAUUUGUACCCUUCCUACAGUAUGUGCUGCUCAGUGGUAGGAUGACCCCUCUCCUAGCCCCCUAUAAAUGACAUUAUUGAUAAGUUUUCCUGAUUAAUCCUACCUUUCUCAAGAAAGUCAAGUGGACUGGAUGCUGCCAAGCAAGUUUUCAAGUUGUGUGAUGCUAUUCCCUCUUCACUGAAAGGGAAGCCCUGCAGAGAAGACAUCACAGGCUGAGACAGGAAAUGGAAACCCAAGGAGUGAUCCUAGGAGUAUUUCUCACCUGCAGCCUGAGUCACAAUGCUGGAGGGUGAAUGACAGGCUUGUGUCUGCAUGUCCAGCUUUUUGGAAAGUCAGAGGAAAUGCUACUGUGGUCCCAUUAAUCACACUGUGAUAUGUUGAUCUGACUAAAAUCCAACUUUGAAAUGUUACGUAUUGUCAUGCCUAGAAACUCAAUCUAAAUUGUUUCUGCUUUGGGACGCCCAGGUGGCUCAGUUGGUUAAGCGUCUGACUUCGGCUCAGGUCGUGAUCUCACAGUUCAUGAGUUCGAGCCCCGUGUUGGGCUCUGUGCUGACAGCUCGGAGCCUGGAGCCUGCUUUGGAUU